CCUACGGGAGGCAGCAGUGAGGAAUAUUGGUCAAUGGACGAGAGUCUGAACCAGCCAAGUAGCGUGAAGGAUGACUGCCCUAUGGGUUGUAAACUUCUUUUAUAAAGGAAUAAAACGAGGCACGUGUGCCUUUUUGCAUGUACUUUAUGAAUAAGGAUCGGCUAACUCCGUGCCAGCAGCCGCGGUAAUACGGAGGAUCCGAGCGUUAUCCGGAUUUAUUGGGUUUAAAGGGAGCGUAGAUGGGUUGUUAAGUCAGUUGUGAAAGUUUGCGGCUCAACCGUAAAAUUGCAAUUGAUACUGGCAGUCGUGAGUACAGUUGAGGUAGGCGGAAUUCGUGGUGUAGCGGUGAAAUGCUUAGAUAUCACGAAGAACCCCGAUUGCGAAGGCAGCUUACUAAACUGUGACUGACAUUGAUGCUCGAAAGUGUGGGUAUCAAACAGGAUUAGAACCCUUGUAGUC
rnacentral:rRNA from 1 species